AAGGUUUGAUGGAACUGGAUGCAGAAUCCAGAACCCUGGGAGUUUGAUUGUGAUUGUUUUUAAAUCAGAGCCAUAAAAGAUCCUUGUGGCUUUUAAGAGUCUUGUUACAUUGUUAGCAGUAUCUGGUGAAAUCUCGGAAUCCAAAAAUUAUGCUAAAUAGGAUUUCCAGUCAAGAGGAGUGGGGGACGGGGGAAUCAAUUUGUUUUGUAGGCUCUCAUUGUCCAUCAGUAUGUUCAGUAGAAACUGAGUCAACAGUGUGAUGCAGCAACGAAAAAAGCUAAUGCUAUUCUAGCGUGCAACAACACAAGUAUAGUGUCCAGAUCAAGUGAAUAGUACUGUUCUAUUUUGCUUGGGGCAGAGCAUACCUAGAAUACUGUCCAGCUCUGGGUGCCACAAUUUAGGGAGGAUAGUGACAAGCUAGAAUGUGUGCAGGGGGGUGACCAAGAUGAUCAUGGGUCUGGAAACCAAGCCUUAUGAGGAAUGGUUGAGGGAACUGGGUACGUUUGACCUUAUAAAUAGGAGAUUUAGAGAAGAUAUGAUAGGCAUCUUCAAAUAUCUAAAGGGCUGUCACACUGAGGAUGCAGCAAGCUUAUUUUCUCCUGCUCCAGAGGGUAGGACUUGAACCAAUGGAUUCAAGUUCUAAGAAAGGAAAUUCCGACUAAACAGCAGGAAGAACUUUCUGACAGUACAAGCUGUUCAAUAGUGGAAUGCACUCCCAUGAGAGCCAGUGGACUCCCCUUCCUUGAAAGUUUUAAAGCAUAGGUUGGACAGCCAUCUGUCAUGUAUGAUCUAGUUGAGAUUCCUGAAUUGCAGGGAGAUGGGCUGGAUUACCCUUUGGGUCCCCUGCAAUUUUAUGCAGAACAAACAUCUAUAUUCCAAUUCACCAUCAUCCUCAGCUUUUCUUGGCACAGAAUUUUGAGAGGUGUGAGGAUUUUCCAUCUGCUAUUUCAUAGUGCCAGACUCCCAAUUUAUAAAAUUAUACAUGGUGCAUGUUGUAGAUUAUGCUGUGUUAAUAAGUAGAAAGUGGGGCAUGCAGCAAAAUGUAGCAGUGUAAAGAAUGCCAGCCACAUCAUCUUCUAUGAUAUUCCCAUUUCAUUCCCACUCCCAGAAGAUACACUCAGCAUUCUCUGGCCACUGAACAUGCUUAGAAUUCAAUGGGCUUGUCCAGAUUCCCUCACUUACAUUUUCCCCCUCUUUAAAGUUACUGGACCUAUGCAAACAUUUGGGUUGUCCCAACCGUGCUGAUACCCCCUUCUUGUGCACAGAUUGAUGCCAUUUUGGCUAUACAGUGGUACCUCAGGUUACAUACGCUUCAGGUUAUAUACGCUUCAGGUUACAGACUCCGCUAACCCAGAAAUAGUGCUUCAGGUUAAGAACUUUGCUUCAGGGUGGGAACAGAAAUCGGGCUCCGGCGGCGCGGCAGCAGCAGGAGGCCCCAUUAGCUAAAGUGGUGCUUCAGGUUAAGAACAGUUUCAGGUUAAGUACGGACCUCUGGAACGAAUUAAGUACUUAACCCGAGGUACCACUGUAUAAAUACAGGCCUUCAGAGCAUGAGUUCACUAUUAAGAUACAGGAUGCUGAUGUGGUGAUGCAGUUCAGGUGUAUGACAUUCUUCAUGCCUUAUCCAGUGCUCAUUCGUCCAUGGACCCAGAACUUAAGCUAUGAUCAUGUAGAUGUUUCUAACUGGCUCUUCACAAGCCAGUGUUCUCGGUGUCUUGCAAGAUCUUAAUUGAGUCAUGCCCCAAAGAGAAGGUGAAUACUUUUUUAUUAGGUCUCAAUGGGUUUGAGCCAUGAGCUCUCUCUUAGUCUGUUGAUGACUGGUCUGAACUAGACCAGAGAUGUUUUGAAGUGGCCUGGGGAACUGUCUUGGGGACACAAGGUCUAAGAAGGUGAAAAUGCCUGUUUAGCCCCAACUUUCCCACAAGGAGUCUUUUUUUAAAAAAUAUGCAAAGUACACACAGCCCUACCCAAACCAAAUGUAAACAAGCUAGCCUUUAAGAAACAAACUGGAGUAAUUGUGGGGGAAAGGAAAGAUUUGCCUCACCUACCUAGCUGUUGCUAUUAUGUUGGUUGCUAUGUAAACAGUUUUAUUUCUGGCUCACACAGCAUACCAGGUUGUAGGUCAGGGCCAUUUAAUCCUACAUUAUUGGUUUAUGUUUGCUGCAGCCUUCGUCCACUUCAAGUUAGGAUGAAAGCUUCUUCAGCAUUACUCAGGAGCAGCUGUUCUGGCCACCAUAAUGGCAGUUGCUGCUCGAGAUCCAUUGCUGGCAUAAAAGUUUUUUUUGUCAGCACCAGAAAAUAGACAGUAUUCCCUCCCUACCCCUCUCCCUUCCCCAGAGCUGAAAUAGCUGCCACCUGCUAAGGAAUGCUGCUAAGACAAGCCGAUGACAGGCCUGAGAUGGACAUAGGAACGUUGUCCAGCAGGGUGGAGAUUACUAGAAAUCUGACAAAAUCUUUUCUAAUUUUAUGUGGUGGUCAGGAGCAUGGAAUGGAGUGGGGGAGCUGUUCCUGUUCUCUUUUAGCUGUGAACAAAAAAUGAGUAAAUUCUUUGACAAUCUUAUUCCACUUCUGCCAUGUAGAUCUUUCUAACGAAAACAGUUACACAUCAGUGCAGUGAAACAUUACAGUAUUGUUUCAGCAGGGGUAAGGGAGCACAAUAUAGGUAACCAAGUCCCCCUUUAUUAUUUCAGUUGCUAAUUUUGGAUGUUGCACCUUCAUACAGCACAGAGUUCAGUCCUGCUGUGUUUUAAUUCUUAAAUCUCUCCAUCUGGUCUUUUAUAUUCAACCUCACACUACUAAGAAGGCUGGCCCAAACCAUUUUUCUGCUUGUGGUAAAGGACAAGAUGAUGUGUGCCACCAUUCCAUGUUCAGAAGCUAACUGGGCUAGCAGUUGCAUUUUAUUUCAGUUCUCAUAAUGGGGCCAUGCCCUCGAUGAUGACUGAGGUCAGCAGGCUAGUUAUGGGUGUGCAAAACAGGCCAUGUGAUACACAUAGUUCUGCCUUAAAACAGAAGGGUAAGCCAGCAGGCUUCCCCCACUGCUCCCCAGCAACUUCCACCUGAGGCAGUCACCUCAUUCUGCCUAAUGACAGGAUUUGUCCCAAUCACUAAGAAGCCUCAAAGGCCCAUGCAAUGCCAUAUAGGGUUGGAUAUAGCCUGUCUCUUUUUGCCCCUGCAAAUGUAAUGCUAAUGACCUUACAUGUGGCUAGAGUCCCACAGGGGUGAGGGCAGCUGUUGGCAUAGGAAUGCUGUUAGCUGUUCCAGUACAAUCACCAGGUUACAUGCUUUAGCCUUGUCCUUGAGUCAGAAAUUGAUCUUAAUAUUUUGAUUCUGUGAGCUGUUUUGCCAGGGCACUUGCAGCAUUAGUUCUUCUGACCUAGUUUUUUAAAGUACUGUACCACAAAAGGGAUGAAAUAGUAUAUAUAUGGGCUGCGUUGUUAAUGCAGCACCAUAAAGCACUAUGCUGGCUUUGUAGGGAGGUUAUGCUGGCAAUGCAGAUAUGCAGACACGUAUAUUCUUCAUUUUCCUUAGUAGACUUUAGGAACCUAAAAGUUAUCUGAGGUAAAUUGAUAUUACUUAUUAUUAUUGUGCUGUUCUUUCAAGUGUUCAAAGCAAUUCACACACACUAUCUACAUGUAAUUCUUCCAGCACCCCUGUAUGGUUUAUUGGUAUUAUUAUCCCCCAUGUUGCAGAUGGGGGAGGGGAGGACUGAAUCUGAAAGGGAACAGGGGCCACCAGUUAUUUUGAGUCACAUAGAAUCAAGAUUUGGAAUUUUGAGUGUUCUUGGUGCCAGUCACAAAAUGACUGCUGUGGGGGGCAUAGCAUAACACAAAAUGGCUGCCACAUCUAAAGGAGCACAAAAUCAGACAGAACCACAAAAUGGUGCAGGUAUAUUUCCCCACCCCACAAUCAUUGAUUUGGGAGAAAGGCUGGCAUAAGCAGUCUCUGUACUCAAUCACUGAGAGAAGCUCUUUGCACUUCUCCUCUGUUCACAACAUCAGGGAGGGUGCUUAAUGCUGGCAUUCAGUGAAAUAUGGGCAUGUUGCAUGGCUGUCAACGUUUCCCUUUUUUUUAAGGGAAAUUCCCUUAUUCCGAAUAGGGUUCCUCGCAAGAAAAGGGAAAAGUUGACAGCUAUGGCAUGUUGGGGGUGCUCAUUGUAGGAGUGGCUGAGCUAGUGCAAACAUGAAGUGAGCAAGAAGAGCAAGCAGUCUCUAAUGCAUUGUGGGUUUUUGAGGGAAUACCUACUCAGACUUUGCAUGGGUAUCUUAGGAGGUACUGGUAGGCAUAUUGGUGUGUGCCAGUACCACAUUGGCAGACACUGCUAUUGGUUGCAUUCACAUGGCAAUUUCUUCCAUUUCCCUAAUUGUAAAUUUCUGCAUUAUAUUUGAGCUUUCACACAACGUAACAGCCAUGUUGUUAUAAUUGGAUUACUUCUGGAACUGUUAAACAUGGAAAUGAGUGUUAAACAUGGAACUUAACUGCCGCUAGAUUCUUUUAGAUUUCUAAAAGUGGCUUUUACAUCAAAUGAAAGAUCACAUAUAAUACGGAAAUUAAAAGUUAGAGAGACGGAAUGAACUGCUGCGUGAAUGCAGCCCUAGUGAGUUUCUGGCAAUACCAAUAUUCCUAAUUCAUAGCCCUACCGCUACACUAGUUCUCCAAGUAUAUGCCAAACUACACUCACAUUUUGGAGUAGUGAAGUGGGACACAAAAUUACCCUGGUACAAAUCAAAUUAUUUGCAAGUUCACUGGCCUUUGGGACACUAUGCCACAGAGACUUUAUUUUUUUAAAUACGGAGUACAAUUCCUGAUGCUCCGCAGUCACCAAUGUAAUCAGAACUUAAACGGAACCUGAGUGAGGUUUUUUUGCUUCUGCCUAGGCCAAAAAAGUUGCUAACAG